rnacentral:rRNA from 1 species
AUGCCUGUACCAUAACCGACACAGGUGGGUAAGUAGAGUAUACUAAGGGGCGCGAGAUAACUCUCUCUAAGGAACUCGGCAAAAUAACUCCGUAACUUCGGGAGAAGGAGUGCCUUAUUCUUAAGGUUGCAAUAACAAGAUCCAAGCAACUGUUUAUCAAAAACACAGGUCUCCGCUAAGUCGUAAGACGAUGUAUGGGGGCUGACGCCUGCCCAGUGCCAGAAGGUUAAAGAAGUCGGUUAGCAAUAGCAAAGCUGGUAACUGAAGCCCUGGUGAACGGCGGCCGUAACUAUAACGGUCCUAAGGUAGCGAAAUUCCUUGUCGGGUAAGUUCCGACCCGCACGAAAGGCGUAAUGAUUUGGAUGCUGUCUCGGAGAGGGGCUCGGUGAAAUAGACUUGUCUGUGAAGAUGCGGACUACCUGCACCAGGACAGAAAGACCCUAUGAAGCUUUACUGUAACUUGAAAUUGAAAUUGGACUUUAUUCGCGCAGUAUAGGUGGGAGGCGUUGAUUAUAAUCUUGUGGGAUUAUUGGAGCCAUCAGUGAGAUACCACUCUUGUAAUGUUAGAUUUCUAACUUUGAAUCAUUAUCUUGUCAAAGGACAGUUUCAGGCGGGCAGUUUGACUGGGGCGGUCGCCUCCUAAACGGUAACGGAGGCGUACAAAGGUUUCCUCUGAACGGUUAGAAAUCGUAUCUAGAGUGUAAAGGCAUAAGGAAGCUUGACUGUGAGACCUACAAGUCGAGCAGGGACGAAAGUCGGUCUUAGUGAUCUGACGGUACUGAGUGGAAAGGCCGUCACUCAACGGAUAAAAGUUACUCUAGGAUAACAGGCUGAUCUCCCCCAAGAGUUCACAUCGACGGGGAGGUUUGGCACCUCGAUGUCGGCUCAUCGCAUCCUGGGGCGGUAGUACGUCCCAAGGGUUGGGCUGUUCGCCCAUGAAAGCGGUACGCGAGCUGGGUUCAGAACGUCGUGAGACAGUUCGGUCCAUAUCCGGUGUAGGCGCUAGAAUAUUGAGAGGAGCCUUCUUUAGUACGAGAGGACCGAGAAGGACAUACCUCUGGUGUACCAGUUAUCGUGCCAACGGUAAACGCUGGGUAGCUAUGUAUGGAGUGGAUAACCGCUGAAAGCAUCUAAGUGGGAAGCCCACCUCAAGAUAAGUAUUCUCAUCACGUAAGUGAGUAAGGUCACGGUAAGACUAACCGUUUGAUAGGCAUUAAGUGUAAGUACAGUAAUGUAUGUGCUGAGAUGUCCUAAUAGACCGAGGACUC